GCGUCCUUAGCUCAGUGGUAGAGCGUUCCGUUCACAUCAGAGAGGCCGCAGGUCCGAUCCCUGCAGGACGCACCA
rnacentral:tRNA from 4 species